rnacentral:rRNA from 1 species
UACGUAGGGGGCUAGCGUUAUCCAGAAUUACUGGGCGUAAAGCGCGUGUAGGCGGCUGGUUAAGUGUGAUGUGAAAUCUUCGGGCUCAACCCGAAAACUGCAUUGCAAACUGGCCUGGCUAGAGUGCAGGGGAGGGAAGCGGAAUUCCAGGUGUAGCGGUGAAAUGCGUAGAUAUCUGGAGGAACACCGGUGGCGAAGGCGGCAUCCUGGACCGACACUGACGCUGAGGAGCGAAAGCCAGGGGAGCAAACGGG